AAUGAACGUUGGCGGCGUGGAUUAGGCAUGCAAGUCGAGCGGUAGGGAACCGUUCACGGGGUUCAUUUAGCCCCCGGUCAAUGACCGGGGGCUAAGUGGGCCGCGUGAACGGUUCCUGAGAGCGGCGAAAGGGAGAGUAACGCGUAGUUACGUGCCCCGAGGCCCGGAAUAGCCACGGGAAACUGUGGGUAAUGCCGGAUGUUGUCUUCGGACUAAAGGUGUGAUUCCACCUUGGGAGCGGACUGCGUUGUACUAGCUAGUUGGUAGGGUAAUGGCCUACCAAGGCGAUGAUGCAUAGCGGGCGUGAGAGCGUGGCCCGUCUCACUGGGACUGAGACACUGCCCAGACACCUACGGGUGGCUGCAGUCGAGAAUCUUCGGCAAUGAGCGAAAGCUUGACCGAGCGACGCCGUGUGCGGGAUGAAGGCCUUCGGGUUGUAAACCGCUGUCGUAGGGGAGGAAGGCUCCGUGAAGAACGGGGUUUGACCUAUCCUAGGAGGAAGGACGGGCUAAGUACGUGCCAGCCGCCGCGGUAAAAC
rnacentral:rRNA from 1 species